CGCGCAGGCGGCUAUCUACGUCCGGGGUGGAAGCCCAGAGCUCAACUCUGGGACUGCCUUGGAUACGGGAUGGCUUGAGGAUCGGAGAGGCAAGGGGAAUUCCACGUGUAGCGGUGAAAUGCGUAGAGAUGUGGAGGAACACCUGUGGCGAAGGCGCCUUGCUGGCCGAUUUCUGACGCUGAGGCGCGAAAGCGUGGGGAGCAAACA
rnacentral:rRNA from 1 species